AAAAAAAAAAAAAGUGAAUAACCUACCCUUGACUUUGUGAUAACUUCAGGAAACUGGUGCUAAUACCGGAUCGGAUCUCCUGCUGCCUUGUGGUGGUUGGAACGUUUCUGCGGUUGGGGAUGGACUCUCUGCUUAUCAGCUUGUUGGUGGGGUAGUGGCUUACCAAGGCUUUGAAGGGUAGCCGGCCUGAGCGGGGGAACGGAAACAGUGGGAAUGAGAGAAGGACAAGACUCCUAGGGGAGGCAGAAGUGGGGAAUAUUGAACAAUGGGAGGAAGCAGGAUGAAGAAAAGUUGUUUUUGUUAAAUGGGC
rnacentral:rRNA from 1 species